CGCCACCACCAACAACUCCGCCACAUCCAUCAUCAGCUCCAACACCACCUCUUAGUCCACCUUCAAACAUUCAAGUAGUAACCUAAUUUGUAACCUAAUUUCAUUUGAGAGAGAGCGGAAUAAUCAUCUAGAAAUAAUUUUUUCUCGAAAUCAGUCGAAUAAUCAACUGAUCAGAUCCGGAGAAAAUCAUUAUCAUGAGUCGUUCAUCCUUUUCUUUUCGGUUUUAAGAAAGAUUUCCAAGCUCCAGAUGAAAAUUCAAUGGAUACUACAUUUUAGGAUUUGAUUAUAGAAAUUCCGCAGUUAUGAUAUGUAGCAGUGGAGGUGAUGUUGGGGGAGUUUUGGUGGUUUUGAGGCUGGUAUUGUAAACUGCGGUGGAACUGGUGAUAUGAAGAUGGCAAGGACUGGUCGUGAUAUAGUUGUAUGCGGUGAGGAGCAGGUACUGGAUAUGCAUGGUGGAGUUGAUUAGUAUUAGUAUGGAUUAGGUACUGGAAAUGGGGGUGGUGAGUUGUAGUUUAGGGCGAACAAUAGAGAUGGUGGUGAGUUGUCUUCAAAUAGAACAAGGGGUUCUUGUUUCAUCUAGAGUAACACCUUGCCGUAAUCUAUUAGUAAAACCUUGGAAAAAGACGAGUCAAAAGAGGAAAAUGAAAUUCAACUUCUCAGUAAGCAGAUAUUUGUUUUGGGGGUCAACUUUGGUUGUUGACACAACCGAGUGGUGGCACAAGCGGUGGUGGUGACAGCGGCAGCAGUGGUGGCAGCGGAGGCAGUGGCGAUGUUCCAGUGGUGGUGUUUCGGUGGUGGAGUGGUGGUGGCAGUUAGUAGGUAGCGUUCGUUGAGCAGUGGUGGUGGAAUGGUAGUUUAAUUUUUGUGGUGGUGGUGGAUAUGUGGUGGUGCUAAUGGUGGUGGAAUGGUGGUAGUGGUCACCGUGAAGUGGUAGGGAAAGAAAUUUAUUGUAUUUUGAAAUAAAAAUAAAUACUAUAUUAAAGUAAUCUUUUUUCAAAUAGAUAAGGUUUUCAAAUGGUAUGAGUAUAUUUAUUGUUGUAUAAGGGUAUAUUUAUUGGGUGUCAAAACUAGGGGUAUAUAAUUAAUUUACCCAAUUUGUUAUAAUAAACAAACUGUUAUACGGCCUAUGGUCCAUGGAUGUGCGGUCCAUUAGAAUACUAGGGUUUUCCCUUCUCUUGUAUAAAAAGAAUGUUAUACUUGUGCAAUAUGGUUCCCACUCUGG